rnacentral:rRNA from 1 species
CCUACGGGAGGCAGCAGUGGGGAAUAUUGCUCAAUGGGCGAAAGCCUGACCCAGCAACGCCGCGUGAAGGAAGAAGGCUUUCGGGUUGUAAACUUCUUUUAACAGGGACGAAAGAAAUGACGGUACCUGAAUAAGAAGUCCCGGCUAACUACGUGCCAGCAGCCGCGGUAAUACGUAGGGGGCAAGCGUUAUACGGAGUUACUGGGUGUAAAGGGUGAGUAGGAGGCAUGGUAAGCCAGAUGUGAAAGCAUUGGGCUUAACCGGAGGAUUGCAUUUGAAACUGUCAGUCUUGAGUACAGGAGAGGAAGGCGGAAUUCCUAGUGUAGCGGUGAAAUGCGUAGAUAUUAGGAAGAACACCAGUGGCGAAGGCGGCUUGCUGGACUGCAACUGACGCUGAGGCACGAAAGCGUGGGGAGCAAACAGGAUUAGAUACCCUGGUAGUC